rnacentral:pre_miRNA from 1 species
CUAGUGCUCCCUCCGUCCGGAAUUACUUGUCACAAAAAUGGAUAAAAAUGGAUGUAUCUAGAAUUAAAAUAUGUCUAGAUACAUCCAUUUCUCCGACAAGUAUUUCCGGACGGAGGGAGUAUAUG